rnacentral:rRNA from 1 species
AGAGUUUGAUCAUGGCUCAGAUUGAACGCUGGCGGCAUGCCUUACACAUGCAAGUCGAACGCGAAAGGGGGAGCAAUCCCCCCGGUAGAGUGGCGAACGGGUGAGUAAUACAUCGGAACGUACCCAGUAGCGGGGGAUAACCUCUCGAAAGAGAGGCUAAUACCGCAUACGACCUACGGGUGAAAGAGGGGGAUUCGCAAGAACCUCUCACUAUUGGAGCGGCCGAUGUCGGAUUAGCUAGUUGGCGGGGUAAAAGCCCACCAAGGCGACGAUCCGUAGCUGGUCUGAGAGGACGACCAGCCACACUGGAACUGAGACACGGUCCAGACUCCUACGGGAGGCAGCAGUGGGGAAUUUUGGACAAUGGGCGCAAGCCUGAUCCAGCCAUGCCGCGUGGGUGAAGAAGGCCUUCGGGUUGUAAAGCCCUUUCGGCUGGGACGAAAAGGUCCGUGUUAACACCACGGAUCCAUGACGGUACCAGCAGAAGAAGCACCGGCUAACUACGUGCCAGCAGCCGCGGUAAUACGUAGGGUGCAGGCGUUAAUCGGAAUUACUGGGCGUAAAGCGUGCGCAGGCGGUCUACUAAGACAGGUGUGAAAUCCCCGGGCUUAACCUGGGAACUGCGCUUGUAACUGGUAGGCUUGAGUGUGGCAGAGGGGGGUGGAAUUCCCGUGUAGCAGUGAAAUGCGUAGAGAUGUGGAGGAACACCGAUGGCGAAGGCAGCCCCCUGGGCUAACACUGACGCUCAUGCACGAAAGCGUGNNNAGCAAACAGGAUUAGAUACCCUAGUAGUCC